GCGCCCGUAGCUCAACGGAUAGAGCAUUUGACUACGGAUCAAAAGGUUAGGGGUUCGAAUCCCUUCGGGCGCG
rnacentral:tRNA from 3 species